CUUGUAAAAUUAUCACAAAGCAGAAGAUAAUGGUAACAGCCAUCGCAAUCAGGUUGAUAUUGGGUGAUGAUACACGUCACCUCCAAUUGUAGCACCAAUAGUUGGCGCUAAAGAUGUUAGAGCUAAAGAUGCGUCCAAAGCUGGGGAGCAUUCUAGUGGCCCUCCAGAUUCUAAUUUCAGGCUUGCUUGCUUGGAGGCAAAAGUUGAUGAAUUAAAUAAAGAGAUGGCAGCGUUAAGGAAGAUGCUUAGUUCUGUUAUUGACCAACAAAAGCAUCAGGCCGAGCAUCAUAUGCAUAGCCAUUCACCGUCAUCUUCGGUUAGACCAUCAUCCCCUGUGGCACCGUCUGUUGGAGAGCAAGCUGAAGAAUUUGAUGCACCCAUAGACGGUUCCAAUGGUAGG